rnacentral:lncRNA from 1 species
UGCCCCACCCAGAACCAGCUGGCCUUGCUCUGAGACCCUGGGAACUAGGAGCCUUUAAUUUCCAUCCUGGAUGAAUGUUAAUUCCAGAUAGAAGCCAUCCUUAGAUGGGAUGUGUGGUGGGUGGGUGGAUGGCAGAUACAGAAAUGGGAUGACAGGAAGACCAAGAGCAAUCCAGGCAGCAAAAGCUUGUUUUUGUCUCCUUGAGUCAGGACUUCUCAUGACUGGGCAAUCACACUCCAGGAUGUAUCUGGAUCUGGAGACAUGUGGAACCCUCCAGCCAGGUUAUGGAGGAAGAUCCCUGCUCAGCAAGUCUGGCAACUCAACACCCAGCACUAAUUAAGAAAAAGCAACUGAAUUUCCAAACGGGAGCUGCAAUGUUGGCUGAGUGUACGCAGCAGCAGAACCAAUCCCAUCCCUGCCAAGACCCAGGAUUCUGAACUUCAGAAGAAACUAAGUAAUUCUUGCUGUGCGACAUUCAACCCUGGUCCUAGAUUCGACAUUUAUUUACAGAAGAGACCUUUAACUUGAAAGGCUGAUUUUAUGACAAAUUCCGCCUUUCUGAGAAGGAUCAACUUCUCAUUUCGAUCAUGAAGGUAAAGGGAUUGCAGAGGGAAUUUAUAUUCUUGAUUCAAUUGUUAAACUGGUUCCCCUUGGAUUACCAGUUUAACUUGUCACAUUAGCCCACUAAAGACCAAAGAACA